rnacentral:rRNA from 1 species
CUGCAUGUCUAAGUAUAAGCAAUUAUACCGCGAAACUGCGAAUGGCUCAUUAUAUAAGUUAUCGUUUAUUUGAUAAUACUUUACUACUUGGAUAACCGUGGUAAUUCUAGAGCUAAUACAUGCUGAAAAUCCCGACUUCGGAAGGGAUGUAUUUAUUAGAUUAAAAACCAAUGCCCCUCGGGGCUCUCUGGUGAAUCAUGAUAACUAGUCGAAUCGACAGGCCUUGUGCCGGCGAUGGCUCAUUCAAAUUUCUUCCCUAUCAACUUUCGAUGUUUGGGUAUUGGCCAAACAUGGUGGCAACGGGUAACGGAGGGUUAGGGCUCGACCCCGGAGAAGGAGCCUGAGAAACGGCUACUACAUCCAAGGAAGGCAGCAGGCGCGCAAAUUACCCAAUCCCGACACGGGGAGGUAGUGACAAUAAAUACUGAUACAGGGCUCUUUUGGGUCUUGUAAUCGGAAUGAGUACAAUUUAAAUCCCUUAACGAGGAACAAUUGGAGGGCAAGUCUGGUGCCAGCAGCCGCGGUAAUUCCAGCUCCAAUAGCGUAUAUUAAAGUUGUUGUGGUUAAAAAGCUCGUAGUUGAACCUUGGGCCUGGCUGGCCGGUCCGCCUCACCGCGUGCACUGGUCCGGCCGGGCCUUUCCCUCUGCGGAACCCCAUGCCCUUCACUGGGUGUGGCGGGGAAACAGGACUUUUACUUUGAAAAAAUUANAGUGCUCAAGGCAGGCCUAUGCUCGAAUACAUUAGCAUGGAAUAAUAGAAUAGGACGUGUGGUUCUAUUUUGUUGGUUUCUAGGACCGCCGNAUUGAUUAAUANGGACAGUCGGGGGCAUCAGUAUUCAAUUGUCAGAGGNGAAAUUCUUGGAUUUAUUGAANACUAACUACUGG